GGAGGCACGCAGCGACUGGCGGCACAGGGAUGGUCGAACCAUCGGGGAGCUCGUCACAUCGGAGUCGACCGCCUGGGCUCCGGCC
rfam:Actinoplanes utahensis strain NRRL 12052 contig37, whole genome shotgun sequence.